rnacentral:misc_RNA from 1 species
GACUGGUCUGUGUGCCUGACGUACAAUUUCUGCCUUGUUUAUUAAGUCAAUUAAAAAACCCUACCCCUUCUCUCUCUGUCUCUCAAAGCCAACCUCAACCUGCUCUUUAUCCCCAAAGGUUACCCUCCACCACCAGCGCCACCUCCACCGCCGGCCCGCACAGAGAAAAGUGAAGAAACAAUGAAGCUAAAGAACAAAGGUAAAGUAUACCCAUCUCCAUCGUCAUCAUCGUCUUCUUCUGUUGCUGCCAGUAAAGAUAGGGAUAGAGAUGUUCUCUCGGUACUCAAGCUUCUUCCAGCUGCCAUUCUCGCUUUAGCUUCUGUUCUCGCCCUUGAAGACCGAGAAGUUCUUGCUUAUAUGAUUACCAGGUCUCUGAAAACCACUACCAACCCAAACUCAAACAACCCUUCUUCUCUUGAUCAAGAUUCCAAGAGAAAAUCCUCCAAAAAGCCACCAAAUGCCUCCACCAACAACCUUAAUACUAAUAACCAUAAGCCUCCUGUCUUUGAUUGUGAUUGUUUUGACUGUUAUACUAGCUACUGGUUCAGGUGGGACUCUUCUCCUAAUCGUGAGCUCAUCCAUCAAGUCAUUGAAGCCUUUGAAGAGCACUUGACCAACGGUGAACAAUCCAGGAAAAGCUCUAAAGGUAAAAGACGAGAUAGAGUGGGUCGGCGGGUUGGUGAGAAGCCGGUUCUUGAUGUUAUCGAUCGACCCGAAAUGCUGGAGCUAGAGAGUACUCCUCCACAGAAAGCCAAUGAAUCCUCUAUUAUUUCUCCCGAUGAUGACGUCUCACAGAUUGCUACGCCUGAGAGAGCGGCUGAUGGAGAAGGGAAGGAGCAAAAGGAAGCUGAGAGAAAUGAAGAGCAGAGUGAGUCAGUGCCCACGGCGGAGACGGAAGAGAUGGCGGUGGUAAGUUCACCGCAGCAGGCAGUAAGCAACCACAAGGGUUUGGCAAGGAAGGUAUUGCCGGACGUGUUAGGAUUAUUAAAUUCUCGUUUAUGGAGUCUUUGGGGUCCGAGUGUGUAGAAUGCCAAAAAAAAAAAAGAUUGUCUUCGCUUUCUUCCAUUUUUGGA